rnacentral:rRNA from 1 species
UACGUAGGGGGCAAGCGUUGUCCGGAAUUAUUGGGCGUAAAGCGCGUGUAGGCGGCUCGGUAAGUCUGCUGUGAAAGUCCAGGGCUCAACCCUGGAAUGCCGGUGGAUACUGUCGAGCUAGAGUCCGGAAGAGGCGAGUGGAAUUCCUGGUGUAGCGGUGAAAUGCGCAGAUAUCAGGAAGAACACCCGUGGCGAAAGCGGCUCUCUGGAACGGUACUGACGCUGAGACGCGAAAGCGUGGGGAGCGAACAGG